AAUUAAUCACAUUCUAUAAAUAAAAUAUUAUUAUUUUAAUGCCUGGUCCUUUCGUACUAAGGCAUUAUAAAAAUUUAAAGAUAGAAACCAACCUGGCUUACGCCGGUCUGAACUCAGAUCAUGUAAGAAUUUAAAAGUCGAACAGACUUAACAUUUAAGCGACUACACCUAAAAUUAUAUCUUAAUCCAACAUCGAGGUCGCAAACUUUUUUAUCGAUAUGAACUCUCCAAAAAAAUUACGCUGUUAUCCCUAAAGUAACUUAAUCUUAUAAUCACUAUUAAUGGAUCAAUAACUCAUAAAUUAAUGAUUUUAAAUAAUUAAAAGUUAAUUAAAUUUUAAUAUCACCCCAACAAAAUAUUUUAUAUUAUAAAAAUAAACCAAUUCCAAAAAAUUUAAACAACACAAAAUAUAAAGAUUUAUAGGGUCUUCUCGUCUUUUAAAUAUAUUUUAGCUUUUUGACUAAAAUAUAAAAUUCUAUUAUAAAUUUAUAUGAAACAGCUUAUACCUCGUCCAACCGUUCAUACCAGCCUUCAAUUAAAAGACUAAUGAUUA
rnacentral:rRNA from 1 species